UGGGGAAUUUUGGACAAUGGGGGAAACCCUGAUCCAGCCAUCCCGCGUGUGCGAUGAAGGCCUUCGGGUUGUAAAGCACUUUUGGCAGGAAAGAAACGUCAUGGGUUAAUACCCCGUGAAACUGACGGUACCUGCAGAAUAAGCACCGGCUAACUACGUGCCAGCAGCCGCGGUAAUACGUAGGGUGCAAGCGUUAAUCGGAAUUACUGGGCGUAAAGCGUGCGCAGGCGGUUCGGAAAGAAAGAUGUGAAAUCCCAGAGCUCAACUUUGGAACUGCAUUUUUAACUACCGUGCUAGAGUGUGUCAGAGGGAGGUGGAAUUCCGCGUGUAGCAGUGAAAUGCGUAGAUAUGCGGGGGAACACCGAUGGCGAAGGCAGCCUCCUGGGAUAACACUGACGCUCAUGCACGAAAGCGUGGGGAGCAAACAGG
rnacentral:rRNA from 1 species